rnacentral:tRNA from 1 species
GCCGAAGUGGUGGAAUUGGUAGACGCGCACGCUUGAGGGGCGUGUGGGCUAGCCCGUGCCGGUUCGACUCCGGCCUUCGGCA